rnacentral:lncRNA from 1 species
GAAGUGGUGGGUAGAAUGCAGUGCAUGCAUAGUUAUUACAUCCUAUGCAGAGUUGAUUAAAUGUUGCUUUGUUCAUUGAUUAAUCUUGUUGUCUCUGCCCAGGGACAGGGAGGGGGCUAAUUUGAUGAUGGUUAGGACGGCAACGAAAUCUCCUAUGCUGGAGAUGGACUCGCUGUCGCCACGGAAGGUUGUAUAUCAAAGGGCUCCGGGCGGGAAUACUGAUGGUUGGAGCUUUGUCGGUGUCUUAUAUUAUUGCAGUAUAGAGCCUGUAUAUCGGAGCUUGUCGUUUGGGUUGCUAUAUAAUUAAUGUGAUGUUGUUGUGGAGAGUGCUACUCGUCUUAGGUUUUCCUUGUUUUGUAUCCACACAGGUGAUGCCACGCGGCAAGGUCCUGCUUCUUUGAGGAGUAGUGUAUAUAGGAGAGGUGCAUUUCGGAAUUGAGGAAAGAUAUGCUUGUUGCAGCUGUGUUUCAUAUAUCAGGCUAAUGUAAAUUUUGAAGUUUAUUAUGAGCACUUGACUUGUUUAAGAAAAAUGUAAAAUCAACCAGUCAGUUUGUUUGUUUACAAAGAGAGAGAGAGAGAGAGAGAGAGAGAGAGAGAGAGAGAGAGAGAGAGAGAGAGAGAGAGAGAGAAUUGCUGUGUAAUGGUACAUCUCUUAUUCCCCUGUCUUGAUACUUGUGGUUGAUUGAUAUGCUGAGAAAUUCUUGGCUUAAAUAUAAAAAUGGAGGGAGCAUUGUGCUCCCAGUCAUUCCUUUGCG